UGGGGAAUUUUGGACAAUGGGCGAAAGCCUGAUCCAGCCAUGCCGCGUGAGUGAAGAAGGCCUUCGGGUUGUAAAGCUCUUUUAGUCGGAAAGAAAGAGUCGCAAUGAAUAAUUGUGAUUUAUGACGGUACCGACAGAAAAAGCACCGGCUAACUACGUGCCAGCAGCCGCGGUAAUACGUAGGGUGCGAGCGUUAAUCGGAAUUACUGGGCGUAAAGGGUGCGCAGGCGGUUUUGCAAGUCAGAUGUGAAAGCCCCGGGCUUAACCUGGGAAUUGCGUUUGAAACUACAAGGCUAGAGUGCAGCAGAGGGGAGUGGAAUUCCAUGUGUAGCAGUGAAGUGCGUAGAGAUGUGGAAGAACACCGAUGGCGAAGGCAGCUCCCUGGGUUGACACUGACGCUCAUGCACGAAAGCGUGGGGAGCAAACA
rnacentral:rRNA from 1 species